rnacentral:rRNA from 1 species
GUGCGAGCGUUGUCCGGAAUUACUGGGCGUAAAGAGCUCGUAGGUGGUUUGUCGCGUCGUCUGUGAAAUUCCGGGGCUCAACUCCGGAUGGGCAGGCGAUACGGGCAUAACUUGAGUGCUGUAGGGGAGACUGGAAUUCCUGGUGUAGCGGUGAAAUGCGCAGAUAUCAGGAGGAACACCGAUGGCGAAGGCAGGUCUCUGGGCAGUUACUGACGCUGAGGAGCGAAAGCAUGGGUAGCG